rnacentral:rRNA from 1 species
GUGUCAGCAGCCGCGGUAAUACGUAGGUGGCAAGCGUUGUCCGGAUUUACUGGGCGUAAAGGGUGCGUAGGUGGAUAUUUAAGUCAGAUGUGAAACCCCUGGGCUCAACUCAGGGACUGCAUUUGAAACUGGAUAUCUGGAGUGCAGGAGAGGUAAGUGGAAUUCCUAGUGUAGCGGUGAAAUGCGUAGAGAUUAGGAAGAACACCAGUGGCGAAGGCGACUUACUGGACUGUAACUGACACUGAGGCACGAAAGCGUGGGUAGCAAACAGGAUUAGAUACCCUGGUAGUCCACGCCGUAAACGAUGAGUACUAGGUGUAGGGGGUAUCGACUCCCUCUGUGCCGCAGUUAACACAAUAAGUACUCCGCCUGGGAAGUACGAUCGCAAGAUUAAA